GCGUAAGAAUCUACCUUUAGGAAAGAAUAACAACUGGAAACGGUUGCUAAUACUUUAUAAGCUGAGAAGUAAAGGAAUACCGCCUAAAGAUGAGCUUGCGUCUGAUUAGUUUGUUGGUAGAGUAAAGCCUACCAAGACAACAAUCAGUAACUGGUCUGAGAGGACGAUCAGCCACACUGGGACUGAGACACGGCCCAGACUUCUACGGAAGGCAGCAGUAAGGAAUUUUCCGCAAUGGGCGAAAGCCUGACGGAGCAAUGCCGCGUGAAGGAUGACAAUCUACGGAUUGUAAACUUCUUU
rnacentral:rRNA from 1 species